CGUAGGUGGCAAGCGUUGUCCGGAAUUAUUGGGCGUAAAGCGCGCGCAGGGCGGUCCUUUAAGUCUGAUGUGAAAGCCCACGGCUCAACCGUGGAGGGUCAUUGGAAACUGGGGGACUUGAGUACAGAAGAGGAAAGCGGAAUUCCAAGUGUAGCGGUGAAAUGCGUAGAGAUUCGGAGGAACACCAGUGGCGAAGGCGGCUUUCUGGUCUGUAACUGACGCUGAGGCGCGAAAGCGUGGGGAGCAAACAGGAUUAGAUACCCUGGUAGUCCACGCCGUAAACGAUGAGUGCUAAGUGUUAGGGGGUUUCCGCCCCUUAGUGCUGCAGCUAACGCAUUAAGCACUCCGCCUGGGGAGUACGGCCGCAAGGCUG
rnacentral:rRNA from 1 species